CUGGUUAAUUUUCCCAACACCAAUAUACAACCUACACUAUGUCUACGGAGCCUCUAAUAGAUACAAAUGAGUACUAUGAUAGUGCCGGCAACAAGGCUCCGGUAAUACCUCAAAAUGUGAUAAUAUAAUGGACAAAAGAUACAUGACCCGGAAUGAAGUGGGGCUCACCAAGUCUGCUAGGAGAAGGGUGUAACACUAUCGCUGAUCAACGCCGUCUGCUAUGGCACCACCUGCAUCCAUUAAAGAUGCAAUGCCCCCGAUAAAAGGGAUGUUAGUACCAUUGAAUAACACUACUAUGUAUAAUUAAACACCCUCUCAAUAGAAUAAAUAAUCAUAUAAGGAGGAACAAUCAUAGAAUCAAUGGAAACCUCGAACAAUACCAAAACAUCAAGUUAAGAACCACAUUAAAUUUCAAGUAAAUUUCCAUGUUUUUAAGUUGGGAGAUUAUUAACAUCGAUAUACCAUCAUUCACAAUACCACCGUACUUUUACACGGGGUCUGAUCACGACCCGAUCGGCUAGGCCGUCUCAUUUGAGACAUCAAUAUAAUUUCUGGCACAAUCACCAUCAUGUGUGCGACAUGGCGUCCUAUCACCACCCGAUCAGCUAGGCCGUCUCACCCGAGACAUCAUCCUUUUCUAUCAAUUAUCUCAUUUCAUACUCCUUUCAUAUAUUUUCAAUUCAUUGGCACUAGUGGCCAUAAUUAUAAUAUCAUUCUUGGCACUUGGCUGUAUUUCAUUUUUUUCAUGCUCACCUUUUCACUUUCGCACAUCAUCAUCAUCAUUAUCAACAAGAAGACUUUUCAACACAAGACUUUAGGUACACAUGUGAGCAAUUAAGAGUCUUAGACAUAUAGAGAUUUUUCACAUAGUUUGACAUGAUAACCUUCAUUUAAACUUGACUUGAAGUCGUAACAUUUAUAACACAUAGCCCAUACUUUGAACACAUUCUCAAAUGAUAGCAUAACAUUAUAAAAGAAAUUGGAACACACAUUGAACACAUAUCUUUCAACACAAGUUUACUCGGAAUAGCCAAUUUCAUAUUGACCAAAUCGAGUCUUACAUGACUUACAUGAACACCGUGGGAUUCAAUUCUAUGAAAGGAGUUUAGCCAACCUACCUCAAUUGAGUUCCUUAAACUCUAAAAUGUUUCGGAAUUCUUAGAAACUUCAAUCUAUUUUAUAAAUAUAACAAAUUGGACCGAAAUUAGGAAGAUGAUCAUGGUUCUAGCUCAUUUGAGCAUUUUAUCAAACACCAGGUGUGUUAUGGUUUCAAGGUCCUUUUAUGGAGGAUUCCAUCAUCCCACAACCCAUUCUUUACCAUUUUUAGCUCAACAAUCUUCCUACACCCUUUGAUAACACAUAUAUGCAAGAUGAACAACUCCCAUACCCAUGAAUUAUCUUACUAAUUGCCCACUUCUAGUUAAAUUUCGAAAUUAAGAGUUAGGGUAUAAAAUCUUACCCCUAGGAUGAAGACAUAGUGUGCUUUCCUUGUUAAUUGUCCAAGAUUUGAGUCAGUAUUGGGGGAUGAAUCUUAGGAACUCCCUUUCUCACUCUAUGUUACUCCCUCUCUCUAGAACUUAUGUUUUAUCAUUCUAAAAUGAUCCCAAGGGUGUUUUAUUAGAAUGGGGUCGGGUUCAAAAAUUUAAAAAAUAGGAGCCCCAACACAGGUUUGCGGUCGCAUAUGCUUCUGCGGUCCGCAAAAUGGGCCGCGAAAUGGCCCUCCAGAACUGGGUAGGUCUGCCCCACUCUGCGGCUAUUAUGCGGUCCGCAGACCUAUUCUACGACAGCAUAAUGCGCCGCAGAACCUCCCUCCAAAAAAUUCCAUGCUGAAUCUGGGAUAGGUGUGCGGCCCGCGUAAUCGUUGUCCGAUCGCAUAAUGGACCUACAAAUUUUCUCAAGUUUCUUCUUCACUCUACGACCAUUCUAUGACCCGCAGAGUGAUUUUGCGGCCGCAUAGUGGGCAGCAGAAAUGUCUUUUUCUGCCUACCCGGGUUUUAGGUAAAAUUUUACAGGGCCUUACAUGCUUCGUGCUCGUGUUAUAGAUUUCGGGGUUCUUGGGAUCAGUUGUUGGCGCUUGCGAAGUUUUCCUACAGCAACAUCUACCAAUCGAGUAUUCAUAUGUCUCCUUAUGAGACCCUAUAUGGGAGACGGUGUCAUUCCUAGUUAGUUGGUUUGAACUAGGAGAGGCUAAGUUAUUAGGCUUAGAUUUGGUUCCAGAUGCCUUGGAAAAGGUCAAGUUGAUCCAGGAUCGGCUUCGUACAAACCAAUUUAGACAAAAGAGAGAUACAGAUCGGAAGGUUAGUGAUGUUGCAUUCAUGGUUAGAGAGCAAGUCUUGCUCUUGGUUUCACCGAUGAAGGGUGUGAUGAGGUUUGGGAAGAAGGAGAAGUUGAACCCUAUGUAUAUCAGACCUUUUGAGAUCCUUGAGAGGAUAGGUGAGGUGGCCUACAAGCUUGAGUAACCACCUAGUUUGUCUGUAGUUCAUCCAGUAUUCCAUAUUUCUAUGCUCCAGAAGUAUUAUGGUGAUCCUUCUCAUGUUUUAACCUACAUAACAAUCCAAUUAGAUGAAGAUUUGAUUUAUAUUGAGGAGCCGGUGGCUAUCUUGGACAGACAGGUUCAAAAGUUGAGAUCAAAGAACAUUGCAUCAGUGAAGGUUCAAUAGAGGGGUCAUUCGAUCGAGGAGGAAACCUGGGAGACCGAUAACGACAUGCGGAGUCAAUAUCCUCAUCUAUUCAUCAUUUUAGGUAUGUCCUUAUGCACGUUCAAGGAUGAACGUUGGUUUUGAGAUGGGGAGAAUGUAACAACUAGACCGGUUGUUUUGUGUAAUUGCGCCAUGUUUCUCCUUUUGAUGUUUCAUACAUGUGUGUUUAUGAUUUUAUGACUUGAUGGGUUGGUUAGUUUCAUUCUGGGUAGCUUUUAGGUUGAUUCAGACCCUUUGAUUUUUGACUUAGAAGUCUAAGUUAGAAAUGUUGACCCAACUUUGACUUUUGUGAAAAUGAACCUCGAACGGUGUUUUAAUGGCUCUUAUAACUUCAUACCAUAAUUUUGGACUUAGGAGUAUGCCCAGAAUCGAUUUUGGAAGUCCGUAGGUUGAUUUUUGUUGUUAUGCCAAAAUCUGGCAAUUUAAAGUUGAAAAGUUUGACCGUAGGUUGACUUUUAGCUAUCGAGCUCGGAAUUUGAUUUUGGAAAUUGGAAUAAGUCUGUUAUAUUAUUUAGAACUUGUCUAGAAAAUUUGGUGCCAUUUCGAAUUGAUUUGAUAGGAUUCAGAUGUUUUGUUGUAAUUCUAGAAAUUCAUGAACGUUACUUUGAAAUUCAUGCGUUUUAGUAUUCGAUUUAUAGUUUUAGAUGUUAUUUUUAUGUUUUCAUCGCAUGAGUGAGUUCGUAUGAUGUUUUCAGACUUGUGUGGAUGUUUGGUUUUGAUCCUCGAGCGCUCGGAUGAGUUUCAGACAUAUUUCAGAAGGUUCUGAACUGAAAAUGAAUUGCUGGUGCUCGCACCAGCCUUGCAAUCGCGAAGGUGACAGUGGGGGAUCAGAUUUCACAAUUGCGACUUCCCCUUCACAUUUGCGAAGUCAUUUGUAUUUUGGAUUGGUUCGCAUAUGCGAACAAUAGUUCACUUUUGCGAUUAUGUCCAACUUUGCAAUUGUGAAGCUUUUGUUGUAAUUGCAAUGAUCACUGAGGGUGUCAAGGCUCGAAAAUGCAAUCCCUGGUCCGAAAUUGCAAGGGUUCUCAUAUGUGAACCCUGUGUCGCAAAUGCGACACUUGCAGCUGGACAAAAGGACUGGAGACGGGAUUUUUCAACAUAUUCUCUCAUUUUAGAACCCUAGACUCGGGAGGAGACAAUUUGGAGAGGGGAUUUUUAUCUAAAAACUUUAGGUAAGUGAUUCUAAUCUAUUUCCAACUAUAUUCCAUCAAUAUAUCUUAGAUUUUAACACCAAAAUUAUUUGAAUAAAAGUGAAAAUUUGUGAAACUUUGUCAUGUUUUUGAAAAAUAAGAAUUUAAGUUUUGAGAGUCGAUUUGGACUCGAAUUUUGAAACUAAUCACAUAUAUGAACUCGUGGGAUUAUGGGUAGUCAGAAUCUACCAUUGGACCCGGGUUUUGAUUGGGUGGGCCCCGAGUUGACUUUUUUGGAAAAAGUAUAAAGAUCAUAGCUUUACCUAUUAUAAUUGAUUUCUAUUGCAUUGUUUGAUGAUAUUAAGUCGAUUUUGAUUAGAUUUAAGCCAUGUGGAAGCAAAUUUUAGGGAAAAAGCUAUUUCCGAGAGUUGAAUUCGCCUAGUUGAGGUAACUAUCUUGCCUAACUUUGUGUGGGGAAACUUACCCUUAGGACUGGGAUUGAUCGAUUCAUUUGUGCCAUGUGAAAGCCGUGUAUGCAAGGUGAGGAGUGGGUACACGGGUUGUAUGUGGUGUUUGAUCGGUUUAGGCUACUUAGACUCUUUUCAUGCUUUAAUUGAAAUGUCAUAUCAUGUUCUAAAUUCUCAUAGUCCAUCUAUUCUUGUAUUAGUCUAUCCUUACAUGCCUUAAAUGACUUGUUUAGCACUUGUUUUACCUUCUACUUGAUAAAUUUCUCUCAUGCUUUAGUUGAACUUGUUGCCCUUUUAUUGUUACAUGUUAUCUCUUUCAUUGUUGAUUAUCAUUUUUUAAGUCAUUGUACAUGUUACCUCUUUCAUUGUUGAAUUACCAUUAUUUGAAGUUAUUGUUACACGUUAUCUCUUCCAUUGUGAGUUAAUCCUAUUUAUUAUUGUGGUUACACAUAAUCUUUAUCGUUUGUUAGUUAUUGGUGUUGAAGUUGUGAAAGUUUUAUCACGUUGAGGCGAAGUGCUUAUUUGUCGGGAUAUCCUUCUUGUUGAGAAAUUUGCAUUUAUUGCUUUUGUUGAUAUUCUUGUAUACAUUGUGGUUGAGCCAUGGGCUAUUGUUGUGGAAAUAUUGAUAUUGUCGAUUAUUUGCAAGUUGUGACAUAUGGGUACUUGUGGUACGAGUUGUUAUUGUGAUGUAAAAUUGACGGGCAUACAUCGGUAUAAGGAUAGGUGUUAAUGUGCAUGCGACGACAUAAGGUGAGACUUAUGUGCGUGUUACUUGUAAGGAAAUUACGUGAAGACACACAGAAUCAUAAUGUAGGCUAAAGUGCAUGUAGCUAUUUCGAAAAACUUUUUACAAAAACUAUGUAAAUGUAAGGCUCACGCAGUGGUAUAAGGAAAGAUUGUGAAUUGUCAAAACGAGGAGAUACCUCGGUUGUUAUUCUUGAUAUAUACGAGGAGGUACCUUGGUUAUGAUUCUUAUUGUGCACGAGGUGGUAUCUCAUUGUGAUUCUUGUUGUUCAUCUCAUGUUGCAAAGAGUUAUUUGGUGGGAACACUUCUUGUUGUUUUGUUCGUUCUUGUUUUAUCAGUUAUUGUAUGUAUAUGAACAUUGUGGUUCUUUUCAAUUGUUUCCCUUAUGUUAUAUCUAUGCUUACAAUCCUUUCAUUAGUCUAUGUUAUUAACUUGUUUCAUAUUACUUAUUGCUCCGCUUUCCGUUACUCCUUGUUAUUACGUUUUCAUUCUAUUUAUUAUAUCCUAAUAGGUAUCUUGACCUGGCCUCGUCACUACUAUAUCGAGGUUAGGCUUGAUACUUACUAGGUAUCUUUAUGAUGUGCUCAUACUAUACUUCUGCACAUCUUUUUGUGCAGAUCCAGGUAUGUCUUCUCGUGCCAGACAUUAGCGAUCGACUGUUAGAUGCUUUUCGGAGACUUCAAGGUAAACCUGCUCGGCAUCUGCAGGCCUCGAAGUCACCUUCCUUUAUCUUUACUUCCUAUUGUAUUUUCAUUCUGACAGUGAUGUAGUAGACAUUCUAGUAUUACCCUGUUGAGCUUAUGACUCAGUUCCACCGAUUUUGGGAAGUGUACUGUUGGGAUUCUAUUUCAGAAGAUUAUAUUAGUUUAUCAGACUUGCUUUAGUAUUUUGUUAAUUAUCUCUAUCAAGUUACUAUUAAAUGUUAGGCUUACCUAGUCGUAGAGACUAGGUGACAUAACAACAUCCUACAGAGGAAAAUUGGGGUCGUGACAAAUGUAGCAAGAGUUGGCAGUACUUUGAGAGAGGUUUUAAAGGCCUGAUUUUAUUCCACUUUGAGACCUACUAUUUGGUUAACAUAAAGGGUUAAAUUCAAUAUUAUCAGCACAGAACUUGUUUCAAUUAACCAUGAAGCUUAAUAGGAUUCAAAAAUAGCAACAACAUAGCUACUUGAAUCACUAAAUCUGCAAAACAUGCAAGAUACCAACGACUUAUCAACUGGUCAUCCAAGUAUGCAGGUGGAAUACAAAACAUGAUCUACAUGGAAAUCCAUUUAAAAGAUCAACAUAAUGUCACACAUUGAAGAGCCAAGUUAAUCUGGAGGCACAGAAACACCAUGAAUGGUUCAAAAACAUGAUUCAACUAACUUAAUUGACAUGAUAAUGCUUAUACGAUUGUUGUUUAACUAACAUAGAUAAGUUAUACACAAAAUCAACAUUGUGGUUACUUUAACUAGUCAUGAAAACUUGACCACAAGAAAAUCACUAAGCAUAGAGACAUUUUACUAAUCAAAUCAUAAUAAUAGGAUUCGACAACACAGAUUUGAUAAAAACCUCAGCACAACAUAGCUUAAUCAGAAGGUUCACAAUUUAAUAGUGAAGACAACGUGAAAAUACAUGGUAGGAUAAAUAUGGAUUUACAUCACUAGUAUCGAUCACAAACAACAAGUAAUUAACAAAGUGAUCGUCAACAAUACAGAACUACACCAUUAAUACAAAGUAAAGAGGGGUCAGUAUGAACUGACCUUCUGCAAGGCACCAAAUCAAGUGAGGAUUGUUCAACUGCCAUUUUGGGAUUCCAGCUCAAGACCAAUACAACAAUCAAACUCAGAACCGGAGAAGAGAAAAGAAAACAAAAAGUCAGAGAAUGCCUAGUGAGGAAAUCCUUGAGCUUUAACUUUUUUCUUUCUUUCUUUUGUGUUUCAGAAAGUAUUGAUCGAUGUUAGGUGAAGAUAUUGGAUGAUCCUUUUAUAGUCUCAUUCAAGCCUUAGGAUUCUGGUCAUAUUCAAAAUUAAUAGUGGAAAGUGAUGAAGGUAGGAUGAUGAUAGCGCAGAGGUGAAAUCAGAAAUAAUCUCCAUGCAUGCUCCGAUUUGAAAGAACAUGGAAAAAUAUAUGAAAUCCCGAGUCAUUCUUUUAGGUCUGGGUUUUUAAUUUGUAAUGACGAAAGGGGAAAUAUUCAAGCGGGAAUCAUAGCUAAUAGGGAAAGAGAAGAUGAUUUAGGCAUGAUUGUGUUGACCUUGCACCAAUUUGUGCAAGACUUUUUGGACUGAUGGGGUUACAAGAUUGAGAGAAUAGGGAGAGAAAGCGGAAAGUGAGUUGGCGAUGUGGUGUUGAAAUGAUUUAGGGUUG
rnacentral:lncRNA from 1 species